CUCUUUCUCUCCUCUCUCUCUCUCCUCUCAUCUCUCUCUCUCUCUCUCUCUCGGUCGCUCUCUCCAUCGCUCUCCUCUCUUUCUCUCAUCCUCUCUCUCCUCCUCUCUCGGCUCUCUCUCUCCUCCUCUCCCCUCUCUCUCCUCUCUCUCUCUCCUCCUCUCUUCUCUCUCCUCCUCCUCCUCUCUCUCUCCUCUCUCCUCUCUCUCUCCCCUCUCUCCUCUCUCUCUCCUCUCUCUCUCUCCUCUCUCUCUCCUCUCUUCUCUCUCCUCCCUCUCUUCCCUCUCCUCUCCCUCCUCUCCUCUCCUCCUCUCUCUCUCUCUCCUCUCCCUCUCCUCUCCCUCUCUCUCCUCUCUUUCUCUCCUCCCUCUCUCCUCUCUCUCCUCUCUCUCUCUUUCCUCCUCUCUCUCCUCUUCUCUCCUCUCUUUCCUCUCUCCUCUCUCUCUCUCUCCUCCUCUCUUCUCCGCUCUCUCCUCCCUCUCUCUUCUCCCCUCCUCUCUCUCCCUCUCUCUCUCCUCCUCUCUCUCCUCUCUCUCUCCUCUCUCUCUCCUCUCUCCCUCUCUCUCCUCUCUCUCCUCUCUUUCCUCUCCCUCUCUCUCUCCUCUCUCUCUCUCCUCUCUCUCUCUUCCUCUCCUCUCUCCUCCUCUCUCUCUCUCCUCCUCUCUCUCUCCUCUCUCUCUCCUCUCUCUCCCUCCCUCCUCUCUCCCCCUCUCUCCCCUCCCCUCUCUCUCUCCUCUCUCCUCUCUCUCCUCUCUCUCUCCUCCUCUCUCUCUUCUCUCUCUCCUCUCUCUCCCUCUCUCUUCCUCUCUCUCUCUCCUCUCUCUCUCUAUCUCUCCUCUCUCUCCCUCUCUCUCCUCUCUCUUUCCCCUCUCGUCUCUCUUCCCUCCAUCUCUCCUCUCUCUCCUCUCCUCUCUCUCUCUCCUCUCUCUCCUAUAUUCCCUCUAUCUCCUCUCUCUAUCAUCUCUCUCCUCUUCUCCUCUCUUUCUCCCCUCUCUCUCUGUCUCCUCUCUUCCUCUCUCUCUCCUUCCUAUCUCUCCCUCUCAUCCUCUCUCUCUCUCCUUCUCUCUCUCAUCCUACUCCUCUCCUCCUCUCUCCUCUCUUCCUCUCCUCUCUUCUCCUGCUCUCCUCGUCCUCUCUCUAUCUAUUCCUCUCAUCUCCCCUCCUCCUCUCUCUCUCUCUGGGACACAGUGUUCCUGUAGAAGUGGUGGAGGUGACCUCCAGUACCACUAGAAUGUUUCCUAACAUAAACACUGUGGAGGAGAAACACUAUCUGUCCAGUUAGGCUGAACUCCUAACCCACUACUGUGGCUAACCAGUAAAGCUCCC
rnacentral:lncRNA from 1 species